rnacentral:lncRNA from 1 species
GCUGCAUGGGGCUUAGCUGUCAGCUGGGGUUAAACCAUGACAGCUGUCCAUAACACUGUCUGUCAAAACUGGUAUAAGAAACAAUAACUCCAGUCAUGUUAUUACAUUUGGGAUUUUUAUUUCAGGAAAACCAAAGCUGUGAAGGAAACUAAGUAUUGGAGACCUGGUUAUGUCUUGCUGAAUCAGAAGAGAAUUUGAAGUAAUAAGUCCACUGGAUAACAGCAGCAUGCAUAAGAUGGAGAUCAACAGGAGGGGGCCUAUUCCGCAUAGGCUUUUGUGUGAAGUAGAAGAGGACUCUUUUCACCUUUUCGGGAAAAUGCGGCUGCUAUGCACAAAAUAUGAAAGGCUGAGUGACAGAGGAAGAGCAUGAGUCCCUGGUCUAGUGGUAAAUCUCAGAGCUGAGAGACAUAGUUUGGGUGCCAGUUUCCAUGGUCAUUCCUGUAUUUUAACUAUAUCACCUGAAAUACAGAUAUUGUCCUCAGAGCAAAAAUCAGAAAUCAGAACUCCUACCAAGCUAAGUCACUUACCCGCUUAAACUACUGAACUGUGUUUUGCUCCAUAAACUUUGAAGUCUUGUCAGUGUACAUUUGUAGAUUUACCCAGAUUGGUUUUGUCUGGUGGCAGGACAUUUUUCUCAAAGGGAGGACAUAUAACUCCGAAUCAUCUCAUAAACAAGAGGGAACUAAACUUGGUUGACUCUGCCAAGGUAGGUAAAUUUAGAUAUACAAACUGAGCAACUCUGGAGGACAAUUUAACCUGAAAAGGGCUUCAGGGAUAGGCAGGCAUUUUCAGUAUCCUGUUUUGGACUUCUGGGUCCCAAAUAAAGUGCAUAAGUCCCCUUUUGAACCUGGCCCA